UGCCCUGCACUUUGGGAUAAGCCUGGGAAACUGGGUCUAAUACCGAAUAGGACCACGCGCUUCAUGGUGUGUGGUGGAAAGCUUUUGCGGUGUGGGAUGGGCCCGCGGCCUAUCAGCUUGUUGGUGGGGUAAUGGCCUACCAAGGCGACGACGGGUAGCCGGCCCGAGAGGGUGACCGGCCACACUGGGACUGAGAUACGGCCCAGACUCCUACGGGAGGCAGCAGUGGGGAAUAUUGCACAAUGGGCGCAAGCCUGAUGCAGCGACGCCGCGUGAGGGAUGACGGCCUUCGGGUUGUAAACCUCUUUCAAUAGGGACGAAGCGCAAGUGACGGUACCUAUAGAAGAAGCACCGGCCAACUACGUGCCAGCAGCCGCGGUAAUACGUAGGGUGCGAGCGUUGUCCGGAAUUACUGGGCGUAAAGAGCUCGUAGGUGGUUUGUCGCGUUGUUCGUGAAAACUCACAGCUUAACUGUGGGCGUGCGGGCGAUACGGGCAGACUAGAGUACUGCAGGGGAGACUGGAAUUCCUGGUGUAGCGGUGGAAUGCGCAGAUAUCAGGAGGAACACCGGUGGCGAAGGCGGGUCUCUGGGCAGUAACUGACGCUGAGGAGCGAAAGCGUGGGGAGCGAACAGGAUUUGAUACCCUGGUAGUCCACGCCGUANACGGUGGGUACUAGGUGUGGGUUCCUUCCUUGGGAUCCGUGCCGUAGCUAACGCAUUAAGUACCCCGCCUGGGGAGUACGGCCGCAAGGCUAAAACUCAAAGGAAUUGACGGGGGCCCGCACAAGCGGCGGAGCAUGUGGAUUAAUUCGAUGNCACGCGAAGAACCUNNNCNGGGUU
rnacentral:rRNA from 1 species